AAAUUCUGUUUCGGUUGCAGUUCCAUUGUGUGGAGCCAGUACUACAACUUUUCCUCCUGCAUUCAUUUCUCUUCCUGCUGCCUUGUGAAGAAGGUGCCUUGCUUCCCCUUCACCUUCUACGGUGAUUGCAAGUUGCCUGAGGAUUCCCCAGCCAUGUGAAACUUUCACAGAGUUUGAGAGAAACUGUAUUCAAGUUGCUGAAACCAAGAAGCUACACUCACGAGUCUCACCUAAACUCGAAUCUGAUUUAGAUGACAUCAUCCUGGACUUUGAGUUGAUGAAACCUUGGAGGUCUUGGGAGUAAAGUAAGUGUGAUUUGCAUAUGAUGGAUAUGAAUUGUAAUGGCCAGAGCAUGGCUGUGGGAACCAAGACUGAAUUCCAUGAUUUACAUGGAUGUUUGGAAGGUGUCUGCAACUUAAUCUGUGUUCGUUUCUGAGAUGUUGGGCAACUCCUUCUUGGAAGAUGUGGUAAUGGUCUCUUUGAAAAGAAAAUAAUCAUCUGAGUUUUGGCCGAAAUAGUUGAUCAGAUUACCUAUGAAAAUGACUCUCACCCAACUACAAGAAUGUUAUGAUGUAGAAACUCUAAAUAUAUGAGUAAUUAACUAUACAACACUCCAUUCCCAUGUGAAAAUCUUUAAUCU